rnacentral:pre_miRNA from 1 species
CAAAUACUCCCUCCAUCUGGAAAUACUUGUCAUCAAAAUGGAUAAAAGGAAAUGUAUCUAGACGUAUUUUAGUUUUAGAUACAUCUCUUUUUAUCCAUUUUGAUGACAAGUAUUUUUGGAUGGAGGGAGUAGAAA